GACGAACGCUGGCGGCGUGCUUAACACAUGCAAGUCGAACGGGCUCUGUCUGGCUGUGUGCUGGGUGGGGUUAGUGGCGAACGGGUGAGUACUACGUGAGUAACCUGCCCUCUUCUUUGGGAUAAGCCUUGGAAACGGGGUCUAAUACUGGAUAUUCCUGUCUGGUCGCAUGGCUGGGUGGGGAAAGUUUUUUUCGGUGGGGGAUGGGCUCGCGGCCUAUCAGCUUGUUGGUGGGGUGAUGGCCUACCAAGGCGUCGACGGGUAGCCGGCCUGAGAGGGUGACCGGCCACACUGGGACUGAGAUACGGCCCAGACUCCUACGGGAGGCAGCAGUGGGGGAUAUUGCACAAUGGGCGCAAGCCUGAUGCAGCGACGCCGCGUGGGGGAUGACGGCUUUCGGGUUGUAAACCUCUUUCGUCGGGGGACAAGGCUCUGCUUGGUGGUGGGGUUGAGGGUACCCGGUGAAGAAGCGCCGGCUAACUACGUG
rnacentral:rRNA from 1 species